CCUACGGGAGGCAGCAGUGAGGAAUAUUGGUCAAUGGACGAGAGUCUGAACCAGCCAAGUAGCGUGAAGGAUGACUGCCCUAUGGGUUGUAAACUUCUUUUAUAUGGAAAUAAAAUGUUCCACGUGUGGGAUUUUGUAUGUACCAUAUGAAUAAGGAUCGGCUAACUCCGUGCCAGCAGCCGCGGUAAUACGGAGGAUCCGAGCGUUAUCCGGAUUUAUUGGGUUUAAAGGGAGCGUAGGUGGAUUGUUAAGUCAGUUGUGAAAGUUUGCGGCUCAACCGUAAAAUUGCAGUUGAAACUGGCAGUCUUGAGUACAGUAGAGGUGGGCGGAAUUCGUGGUGUAGCGGUGAAAUGCUUAGAUAUCACGAAGAACUCCGAUUGCGAAGGCAGUUCACUGGACUGCAACUGACACUGAGGCUCGAAAGUGUGGGUAUCAAACAGGAUUAGAUACCCGAGUAGUC
rnacentral:rRNA from 1 species